rnacentral:rRNA from 1 species
GGGCAGCAUGGUCUUAGCUUGCUAAGACUGAUGGCGACCGGCGCACGGGUGAGUAACACGUAUCCAACCUGCCGUCUACUCUUGGACAGCCUUCUGAAAGGAAGAUUAAUACAAGAUGGCAUCAUGAGUCCGCAUGUUCACAUGAUUAAAGGUAUUCCGGUAGACGAUGGGGAUGCGUUCCAUUAGAUAGUAGGCGGGGUAACGGCCCACCUAGUCUUCGAUGGAUAGGGGUUCUGAGAGGAAGGUCCCCCACAUUGGAACUGAGACACGGUCCAAACUCCUACGGGAGGCAGCAGUGAGGAAUAUUGGUCAAUGGGCGAGAGCCUGAACCAGCCAAGUAGCGUGAAGGAUGACUGCCCUAUGGGUUGUAAACUUCUUUUAUAAAGGAAUAAAGUCGGGUAUGGAUACCCGUUUGCAUGUACUUUAUGAAUAAGGAUCGGCUAACUCCGUGCCAGCAGCCGCGGUAAUACGGAGGAUCCGAGCGUUAUCCGGAUUUAUUGGGUUUAAAGGGAGCGUAGAUGGAUGUUUAAGUCAGUUGUGAAAGUUUGCGGCUCAACCGUAAAAUUGCAGUUGAUACUGGAUAUCUUGAGUGCAGUUGAGGCAGGCGGAAUUCGUGGUGUAGCGGUGAAAUGCUUAGAUAUCACGAAGAACUCCGAUUGCGAAGGCAGCCUGCUAAGCUGCAACUGACAUUGAGGCUCG